rnacentral:rRNA from 1 species
GACGAACGCUGGCGGCGUGCUUAACACAUGCAAGUCGAGCGGUAAGGCCCUUUCGGGGGUACACGAGCGGCGAACGGGUGAGUAACACGUGGGUGACCUGCCCUUAGCUCUGGGAUAAGCCUGGGAAACUGGGUCUAAUACCGGAUAUGACUCCAUGACGCAUGUUGUGGGGUGGAAAGCCUUGUGCGGCUAGGGAUGGGCCCGCGGCCUAUCAGCUUGUUGGUGGGGUNAUGGCCUACCAAGGCGACGACGGGUAGCCGGCCUGAGAGGGCGACCGGCCACACUGGGACUGAGACACGGCCCAGACUCCUACGGGAGGCAGCAGUGGGGAAUCUUGCGCAAUGGGCGAAAGCCUGACGCAGCGACGCCGCGUGAGGGAAGAAGGCCUUCGGGUCGUAACC